rnacentral:rRNA from 1 species
GCCUAAAUACUAACCAUUUACCGAUAGUGAACAAGUACUGUGAAGGAAAGAUGAAAAGAACCCAGAGAUGGGAGUGAAAUAGAAACAUGAAACCUGUAGCCUACAAAGAGCCAGAGCUCUAUACAAACCAGAAAGGUUUUGGAUGAGUGAUGGCGUGCGUUUUGAAGUAUGAGCCGGCGAGUUAUUGUUGCAUGCAAGGUUAAGCUGACAAAAGCGGAGCCCAAGCGAAAGCGAGUACUAAUAGUGCGUUUAGUAUGUGGCAAUAGACCCGAAACAGAGUGAGCUAUCCAUGGGCAGGUUGAAGGUGGGGUAAAACCCUCUGGAGGACCGAACCGACUACCGUUGAAACGUUAGCGGAUGACCUGUGGAUAGGGGUGAAAUUCCAAUCGAACUCUGUGAUAGCUGGUUCUCGUCGAUAUAGUUUUAGGACUAGCGUUGGAUUAUCGAAGCAACGGAGGUAAAGCACUGAAUUCAUGAUGGCGUGCUCCGCAUGUACUGAAUGAAAUUAAACUCUGAAUGCCGUUGAUUCUACUCCAGCAGUGAGACUACGGGGGAUAAGCUUCGUGGUCGUGAGGGGAAGAGCCCAGAUCAACAAAUAAGGUCCCUAAAUUUAGCUAAGUGGGAAAGGAAGUAUUAAUUCAUAGACAACUAGUAUGUUGGCUUAGAAGCAGCCAUCAUUUAAAGAGUGCGUAACAGCUCACUAGUCUAGUUUUUUUGCACCGAAAGUAUAACGGGGCUAAGCUAAAUACCGAAUUUUUGAGUUCUAUGAAAACUGAAAGUGCUUCAUAGGGCGGUAGACGAGUGUUGUAUAGGCAAUGAAGCUUGAGCGUGAGUACAAGUGGAGCCUACACAAGUAAGAAUGCCGGCGUGAGUAACGUAUGAAAGUGAAAAUCUUUCUAGCCGAUUGACUAAGGUUUCCAGGGCAAGGGUCGUCCUCCCUGGGUUAGUCGGUCCUAAGACCAGGCCGAAAGGCGUAAUCGAUGGAUAGCAGGUUAAUAUUCCUGCACUAAUUUGGCUGGCGAUGGGUUGACGGAAGAGGUUAAUGCGGGCGGGUUAAUGGAUUCCCGUUUAAGUUCCAAUUGGGGGGAGUAGGCAAAUCCGCUCCCUGUGUUCACACAACCGAAAGGGCCGAACACGAGUGAAAGAGGUAACUCAACUAACGAAGCCGCAAACAUCAUAUUCCCUAGAAAAAACUCUAGCAUUUAAACAGUCAGGUAACCGUACCGAGAACGAACACACGUGGUCAAGGAGAAUAUCCUAAGGCUAUCGAGAUAACUACAGUUAAGGAACUCUGCAAAAUUGCCCCGUAACUUCGGGAGAAGGGGUGCCUAUGUAAAUAGGUCACAGUAAAGAAUAAGGGGGGACUGUUUAACAAAAACACAGCUAUAUGCAAAAGUGAAAACUAAAGUAUAUGUGGCGACACCUGCCCAGUGCCAGAAGGUCAAAGAAGGCCGUUAGCAUCCGCGAAGCGUCUGACUUAAGCCCUGGUGAACGGCGGCCGUAACUAUAACGGUCCUAAGGUAGCGAAAUUCCUUGUCAGGUAAAUUCUGUCCCGCUUGAAUGGUGUAACC